UGAGGAAUAUUGGGCAAUGCCCGCAAGGGUGACCCAGCAACGCCGCGUGGAGGAUGAAUGUCGUAAGAUUGUAAACUCCUGUUAGAGGGGAAGAAUAGUACCGGUUGGACCGGUAUAUGACUGUACCCUCAGAGAAAGCCCCGGCUAACUACGUGCCAGCAGCCGCGGUAAUACGUAGGGGGCAAGCGUUGUCCGGAUUUACUGGGUGUAAAGGGCGCGCAGGCGGGAUAAAAAGUCAGUGGUGAAAUUCUACAGCUUAACUGUAGAACUGCCUUUGAUACUUUUAUUCUUGAGUUCGGGAGAGAGAGACGGAAUUCCAGGUGUAGUGGUGAAAUACGUAGAUAUCUGGAAGAACACCAGUUGCGAAGGCGGUCUCUUGGUCCGACACUGACGCUGAGGCGCGAAAGCGUGGGGAGCAAACA
rnacentral:rRNA from 1 species